rnacentral:rRNA from 1 species
UACGGAGGGUGCAAGCGUUAUCCGGAUUCACUGGGUUUAAAGGGUGCGUAGGUGGGCAGGUAAGUCAGUGGUGAAAUCCCCGAGCUCAACUUGGGAACUGCCAUUGAUACUAUCAUUCUUGAAUAUCGUGGAGGUAAGCGGAGUAUGUCAUGUAGCGGUGAAAUGCUUAGAUAUGACAUAGAACACCGAUUGCGAAGGCAGCUUGCUACACGAUCAUUGACACUGAGGCACGAAAGCGUGGGGAUCAAACAGG